rnacentral:rRNA from 1 species
CUCCUUCGGGAGGGGAUUAGUGGCGAACGGGUGAGUAACACGUGGGCAAUCUGCCCUGCACUCUGGGACAAGCCCUGGAAACGGGGUCUAAUACCGGAUACUGACCCGCUUGGGCAUCCAAGCGGUUCGAAAGCUCCGGCGGUGCAGGAUGAGCCCGCGGCCUAUCAGCUUGUUGGUGAGGUAAUGGCUCACCAAGGCGACGACGGGUAGCCGGCCUGAGAGGGCGACCGGCCACACUGGGACUGAGACACGGCCCAGACUCCUACGGGAGGCAGCAGUGGGGAAUAUUGCACAAUGGGCGAAAGCCUGAUGCAGCGACGCCGCGUGAGGGAUGACGGCCUUCGGGUUGUAAACCUCUUUCAGCAGGGAAGAAGCGAAAGUGACGGUACCUGCAGAAGAAGCGCCGGCUAACUACGUGCCAGCAGCCGCGGUAAUACGUAGGGCGCGAGCGUUGUCCGGAAUUAUUGGGCGUAAAGAGCUCGUAGGCGGCUUGUCACGUCGGUUGUGAAAGCCCGGGGCUUAACCCCGGGUCUGCAGUCGAUACGGGCAGGCUAGAGUUCGGUAGGGGAGAUCGGAAUUCCUGGUGUAGCGGUGAAAUGCGCAGAUAUCAGGAGGAACACCGGUGGCGAAGGCGGAUCUCUGGGCCGAUACUGACGCUGAGGAGCGAAAGCGUGGGGAGCGAACAGGAUUAGAUACCCUGGUAGUCCACGCCGUAAACGGUGGGCACUAGGUGUGGGCGACAUUCCACGUCGUCCGUGCCGCAGCUAACGCAU